rnacentral:rRNA from 1 species
ACGGGGCGCAGCAGGCGCGAAACCUCUGCAAUAGGCGAAAGCUUGACAGGGUUACUCUGAGUGAUUUCCGUUAAGGAGAUCCUUUGGCAUCUCUAAAAAUGGUGCAGAAUAAGGGGUGGGCAAGUCUGGUGUCAGCCGCCGCGGUAAUACCAGCACCCCGAGUGGUCGGGACGUUUAUUGGGCCUAAAGCAUCCGUAGCCGGUUCUACAAGUCUUCCGUUAAAUCCACCUGCUCAACAGAUGGGCUGCGGAAGAUACUAUGGAGCUAGGAGGCGGGAGAGGCAAGCGGUACUCGAUGGGUAGGGGUAAAAUCCGUUGAUCCAUUGAAGACCACCAGUGGCGAAGGCGGCCUGCCAGAACGCGCUCGACGGUGAGGGAUGAAAGCUGGGGGAGCAAACCGGAUUAGAUACCCGGGUAGUCCCAGCUGUAAACGAUGCAGACUCGGUGAUGAGUUGGCUUUAUGCCAACUCAGUGCCGCAGGGAAGCCGUUAAGUUUGCCGCCUGGGGAGUACGGUCGCAAGACUGAAACUCAAAGGAAUUGACGGA